GAUAGGGUUGAAUUAAAGUACUAGUCACACUCUGAUAUUCUGGUAUAACGUUCUCCCUCGUCUACAUUACAAUACGAUAAACCUUAUCUUUUUUUUCUCUCUUGAAUGUAUAAAGACAGAUAUGUAUAUAACCUAUAAAAAUGUUACGACGUCAAUGGAAACAGCUAUUCAGCCGAUACACCCAUUUGAUGGAACAAGCUUUACGACCUAGAAGUUGGGUGAGUCUUUGGAAGGGUAUGGAAAAUAAAAAAGCUGAAGAUGUUUUCCAUUCGAUUGAAACAUUUUUAAAUCAAGAAUAUUCCCGAUUACAUUAUUUUAACAAAUAUAGCAAGAAGAAUGAUGUGUGGUACACGUCUCCAUUCGGUUAUUGCUUUCUACUUUUCCUGUCUUAUAAAAUGUAUCAACUUGUAUGGAUUUCUCAAAAACAAAAAAAAGCAGCUGAAAUCGUAGCGGAGGCUUACGGGCAAGGAGGCCAGUGGCUGAAUCCAGUGCCUCGUUAAGUUGAAAACUUAGCUUCAUAUAUUUAUCCAUUACAACCGUAAAUGAUGUUAUUUGAAUAAAUGUUGUUUGUUUGGUCAAAUCGUCAUAUUUUAAUAAGAUCAUAUGACUCUAACAUCAUUUAAUUCAGUAAUACUAUCAAACAUGAGAAAUUUAUUAUUAUGUGAAUACUUAUCUUUUUUUUUUUACUCGAAGCAUUAACUUCCUACAUGAAAAUGUUUGAAUGGAUUUCAAAGGACGAAAUGUCAAA